GCCUGCAUAGAUCAAUUGGUUAGAUCGCCUUCCAAAUUUGAGGUUGAUAUAUUCCGGAACUAUAUGCAGGAGACGGAGGUUUGAAUCCUCCUGUGGGCA